rnacentral:rRNA from 1 species
GACGAACGCUGGCGGCGUGCUUAACACAUGCAAGUCGAACGGAAAGGCCCUGCUUUUGUGGGGUGCUCGAGUGGCGAACGGGUGAGUAACACGUGAGUAACCUGCCCUUGACUUUGGGAUAACUUCAGGAAACUGGGGUUAAUACCGGAUAGGAGUUCCUGUGGCAGGGUGGGGGUGGGAAAGUUUCGGCGGUUGGGGAUGGCUUCGCGGCUUAUCAGCUUGUUGGUGGGGUAGUGGCUUACCAAGGCUUUGACGGGUAGCCGGCCUGAGAGGGUGACCGGCCACAUUGGGACUGAGAUACGGCCCAGACUCCUACGGGAGGCAGCAGUGGGGAAUAUUGCACAAUGGGCGGAAGCCUGAUGCAGCAACGCCGCGUGCGGGAUGACGGCCUUCGGGUUGUAAACCGCUUUCGCCUGUGACGAAGCGUGAGUGACGGUAAUGGGUAAAGAAGCACCGGCUAACUACGUG